UGCCCGAAAGGGUGACGAAGCGACGCCGCGUGGGUGAGGAAGGCCUUCGGGUUGUAAAGCCCUGUCAGGAGUUAAGAAAUGUAGACUCGCUAAUAUCGGGUCUAUUUGACAAAGGCUCCAAAGGAAGCCACGGCUAACUCUGUGCCAGCAGCCGCGGUAAUACAGAGGUGGCAAGCGUUGUUCGGAAUUAUUGGGCGUAAAGAGCACGUAGGUGGAUUUGUAAGUCAGACGUGAAAGCCUUCUGUUCAACGGAAGAAUUGCAUCUGAAACUACAAACCUUGAGUGUAGGAGGGGAGAAUGGAACUUCUGGUGGAGCGGUGAAAUGCGUAGAUAUCAGAAGGAACGCCGGCGGCGAAAGCGAUUCUCUGGCCUAUUACUGACACUCAGUGUGCGAAAGCUAGGGGAGCAAACGGGAUUAGAUACCCCGGUAGUCCUAGCCGUAAACGAUGGGCACUAAGUAGAGGGG
rnacentral:rRNA from 1 species